AGAGUUUGAUCCUGGCUCAGGAUGAACGCUAGCUACAGGCUUAACACAUGCAAGUCGAGGGGCAGCGGGAUUGAAGCUUGCUUCAAUUGCCGGCGACCGGCGCACGGGUGAGUAACGCGUAUCCAACCUUCCGUACACUCAGGGAUAGCCUUUCGAAAGAAAGAUUAAUACCUGAUGGUAUGAUGAGAUUGCAUGAUAGCAUCAUUAAAGAUUUAUCGGUGUACGAUGGGGAUGCGUUCCAUUAGGUAGUAGGCGGGGUAACGGCCCACCUAGCCGACGAUGGAUAGGGGUUCUGAGAGGAAGGUCCCCCACAUUGGAACUGAGACACGGUCCAAACUCCUACGGGAGGCAGCGGUGAGGAAUAUUGGUCAAUGGACGAGAGUCUGAACCAGCCAAGUAGCGUGAAGGAUGAAGGUCCUACGGAUUGUAAACUUCUUUUAUAAGGGAAUAAACCCUUCCACGUGUGGGAGCUUGUAUGUACCUUAUGAAUAAGCAUCGGCUAACUCCGUGCCAGCAGCCGCGGUAAUACGGAGGAUGCGAGCGUUAUCCGGAUUUAUUGGGUUUAAAGGGAGCGCAGACGGGUCGUUAAGUCAGCUGUGAAAGUUUGGGGCUCAACCUUGAAAUUGCAGUUGAUACUGGCGUCCUUGAGUGCGGUUGAGGUGUGCGGAAUUCGUGGUGUAGCGGUGAAAUGCUUAGAUAUCACGAAGAACUCCGAUUGCGAAGGCAGCACACUAAGCCGUAACUGACGUUCAUGCUCGAAAGUGUGGGUAUCAAACAGGAUUAGAUACCCUGGUAGUCCACACGGUAGACGAUGGAUACUCGCUGUUGGCGAUAUACUGUAAGCGGCUUAGCGAAAGCGUUAAGUAUCCCACC
rnacentral:rRNA from 1 species